GGCUGUUCACACUGUUUAUUCGCUUCUCUGGGAAAGUCGGGAACACGGGGCCUCGUCACACAUCGAAAGCGUAGGGGCGGCAAGGGCACUUCAGCGGAGGCUCACAGCUCGAGGAAGGGGGCGGACUAGGGGGGGCCACGGCCACCGCGCAGGGGCACUUCCGAGAGGCCUCUCCCCCAGCCGCCCAGGGGCGGGGCUGAGACGGGGACCCAGGCUGCGGUCCAGGGCGGGCCCCCGCACCCACCCUAGGGAGGCGGGCGUGGCCUGGGUUCUGGGCACUACAGGCCCCGAGGGGGGGGCCUGCUCAUCACGGCCCACGCGGGAGAGGGUCUGCGAACGCUUGCGUGCGCCAACGGGCCUCUUGGGUGUGGCUGCAGCCAGGGAGACGUGCACACAUCAGGCUGCGCAGCCAAUGGGGGGCUCCGGCUACCACCCGGGGAAGCUCCCCGCCCCGGGCCAGGUGACCCUCCCCACCACCUGGAACUCGCCAAGCCCAGCAGAGCUGGCGGGGGGCCUCGUCUCUGGGGUAGGGUUAGCAGGACCCAGGACCCCGGUUCAAGCAGGCUGGGGAAGGGGGCCAUGGCGCUCCCCCAGGCUCCCUGAAUUAGCACCAGGAGGAAGGAGGGCCCAGUGGGAUUGGGAGCUCAGGAACAGGGGCUCACAUGGCCCAGCCUCGCUCAGGAGGCAGCUCAAGACUCCCGGCCCAGCCCCGGGGGGGUAGGGGUGGGGGGGGUGUCACAACCCUCCCGCGUUGGGGGAGCGUCUCCAGGCUCCAUCAUCCACCGGCUGCGCUCAAAGAGGGCGUGGGGAGAGGGGCCCAUCAGGCGGGCGGGGGGUGGGUACCGAGGGGG
rnacentral:lncRNA from 1 species